rnacentral:rRNA from 1 species
AAUAGAUACCCAGGUAGUCCACGCCGUAAACGAUGGACACUAGCUGUCCGGCCUGCGUUGGCAGGCUGGGUGGCCAAGCGAAAGUGAUAAGUGUCCCACCUGGGGAGUACGUUCGCAAGAAUGAAACUCAAAGGAAUUGACGGGGGCCCGCGCAAGCGGUGGAGCAUGUGGUUUAAUUCGAUGAUACGCGAGGAACCUUACCAGGGCUUGAAUGCAGUGCGACAGGGGCGGAAACGCCCCCUUCUUCGGACGCAUUGCAAGGUGCUGCAUGGUUGUCGUCAGCUCGUGCCGUGAGGUGUCAGGUUAAGUCCUAUAACGAGCGCAACCCCUGCCGUUAGUUGCCAGCGAGUCAAGUCGGGAACUCUAACGGGACUGCCGGUGCAAACCGUGAGGAAGGUGGGGAUGGACGUCAAAUCAUCACGGCCCUUACGUCCUGGGCCACACACGUGCUACAAUGGCAGGUACAAUGGGCAGCCACUGCGCAAGCAGGCGCGAAUCCACAAAACCUGUCUCAGUUCGGAUCGGGGU